rnacentral:snRNA from 15 species
AUUCUUGCGCUUAGGGCAAUGACGCAGCUAGUGAGGUAUUAACCGAGGCGCGUCUAUUGCUGGUUGAAAACUAUUUCCAAAAAAAAAAGUCGUCAUCAAUAAUAUUUUGACAACUCACUUGUCCACAAAUGAGGUGGCAUCACAAGUGCAUCACAAGUGAGUUGUCAAAAUAGCAUUAGUGUU